CAUUAUAGUGUUAAGGCAUGUUUACACAUAUUCAGAAGGAUCAGCCAGGGUGCGCCAUGAUAUCAUGAAAGAAACUAAGUUUCCCCAACCAAAUAACUAAAGCAACUUGAACACGUAUUGUAUCUUCUACCCAAAUCCAAAUUUACAGCAACUUGCACAGUUAAGUAACUUCUACUUCGAAGCAAUUUCCUUCCCCGUUUCUCAUUAAAAGCUCUGUCAGCUUAGUCAACAUCCUACUUCCUGUUCCAGCCACUUCUCAUGUUGUUGAGAAAAAAAUUCUUGACAAAUUGUUGUUCAGGCUGACAGCGAGCUUCCGCAUGAGCAUCAGAUUGAGCUUGCUAAAAAAAUCUGCAAAAAUUCAACGACAGAGAAAAACACUCUAGAACUUCAGGAAAGGAAAUAAAAAAUGCAACAAAAUUAGAUAAUCAAAUGGGCUUGUUUUACCUAGUGCUUGCUAUGAGAAGCAACCAUCCGAGGCGACCUAGUCUUUAGAAGAUAAGAUAAUCAAAUGGGGAUGCUUUCCACUCCUUACAUUCUAUUUGAUAAUUUGCCACACCUGACCAGUGACCAAAUUGCCAUUUUGUACACGUUUGACUGAAGAAACGAGCAAAUCACCUGAGAUUUUCCAAAUUCCCGAGUUGCCUCAUGAAUCUAGUUUCCUCCCUGCCGGCUAGGCACUCUCUGUUCCCCCCGGCAGGAGGCACUUGCCGCUGCCUGCUGCUGCUUCUUGCUAACGCACACAACCGCUGCACCUUCAACUGAAUUUUGUGGUCUGCAUCAUGAACAAUCAAUCAAGCAUCAGCAUCUCUAUACACUCAGCAAGCAACAAUAAUAAAAGCAACAACGGCAAGCACGGCAAGGAGCCAGUAGUAGCUGCCUGGGCCGGCUACUUCGGCUGGGGCAGCGCACAAGCAGCACACAACAGUGACGCCGCAAGGUGGCGCGUGGAGGCAAACAAUCGCGACCAUCUCUAGCGCGGUGGCCGGCGGUAGCCCUCGAUCGCGCAGAGCAGCGGGCUCGCUCGUAACAUUAACCCUAGGUAGUCAGGGGAAAGGGAGGUGGCCGACUCCGUCGAGGACUGCCGGGGGCGCCGCCGUCGACCACCGAAGCCCUCACUGGUUCCCCUCAGCCAAGCACCGGUGGACUGACCAUCUCCUUUCUCACUCGACAUGAGGAUUUUGACCAGACGGGAACGUCGGUUGCGUGCACGGAGGGUUGACCAGAUGAGAAACGUCUGUUGCGUGCACUGGCGGGAGGGAUUCACACCGAGGCUUACAUUGAUAUGCGGGACCCAUUACAAGAAAAGAAAAAUCACCGGUCGCUCCCAGGCCUUCAAUUCCUGGGAGCUUAGUAACUCUAUCGAUGUCCGUACAUGUUGCAUAGUACAUUCCAUGCAUGCCUGAGUACGAUGUGCUAGUGAAUCCAUUUCAACGCCAAGUGCUCUUGUGCGCGUACGAAAACGCCAUGGUUUCUGGCGUUUGGGUUCCGAAAGCAUACACGCACCUCGGCGUUUUUGAGUUUGCCACGUCAAAUGGCCAGUUGGGCACGGGCUAUGAAAGUAACGCCUCUCCCGCGCAAACGAAACGCCAAGAUUGUUGGCUUGACCAAAAAAGCUCGGAUACGUAAUUCUUUUUAAAAUAGGGUCGAUUUGUGAUCAAGGUUGCCAAAAAGGUCAACAGUAAUUUUCUCCAUGAGGGGUAUCUGAUGUGUAAUCUUAUCCCUUGUCAGGGUUUCGGUCCCAGCGGCAGUCGCCUAGGUCGAGCUAACGGUGUACCAC
rnacentral:lncRNA from 1 species